GACGAACGCUGGCGGCGUGCCUAACACAUGCAAGUCGAACGGGGUUAAUUUGGAAGUACCUUCGGGUGCGGAAUUAUUAACUUAGUGGCGAACGGGUGAGUAACGCGUGAGAAACCUGCCCUUUCAGUGGGGGACAACAGUUGGAAACGACUGCUAAUACCGCAUAAUGUAUUUAGGGGGCAUCCCCUGAAUACCAAAGCUUAAUGUGCUGAAAGAUGGUCUCGCGUCUGAUUAGCUUGUUGGCGGGGUAACGGGCCCACCAAGGCGACGAUCAGUAGCCGGUCUGAGAGGAUGAACGGCCACAUUGGGACUGAGAUACGGCCCAGACUCCUACGGGAGGCAGCAGUGGGGAAUAUUGGGCAAUGGGGGAAACCCUGACCCAGCAACGCCGCGUGAAGGAAGAAGGCUUUCGGGCUGUAAACUUCUUUUAGUCAGGGACGAAGG
rnacentral:rRNA from 1 species